rnacentral:rRNA from 1 species
UACAGAGGUCUCAAGCGUUGUUCGGAAUCAUUGGGCGUAAAGGGCGCGUAGGUGGUUCUGUAUGUCUACCGUGAAAGCGUACGGCUCAACCGUAUUUUGUCGGUAGAAACUGCAGGACUUGAGGCCGGGAGAGGUGAGUGGAAUUCCCAGUGUAGCGGUGAAAUGCGUAGAUAUUGGGAGGAACACCAGUGGCGAAGGCGGCUCACUGGACCGGUUCUGACGCUGAGGCGCGAAAGCGUGGGGAGCAAACGGG